GCCGCCCCGGAGGAAGUUAUCGGGUGGCAGCAGAGUUGGAACGGGAUAGGUAGUUCCCCGUUUCCAGGACCCCAGACGGCCUGCUGGGACAGUGUAUAUGAGUCCGGAAUGGGCUGGACCAGGGUCAGGCUAGCCCAGACUUCAGGUUGCUGCAAAGGCCAUUAUUUUGUUCCUUUUUCUGGCUGAGUCAUAUUCCAUGAGACAAUCAAGCUUUCGAUGAUCAUGUGAUGAGGUUUCCAGUCAGUUCCAGGUGAAGACACCACUGGCCAUCAGGAAGCUACCCUCUCCCCACCAGACAGAGCAGGAUGAGAGUUCUAUAAUCCUCAAUAGGAGGGAGCACUCAAUUGAACAAGUGCAGGAACCAGCUGGCUGCCUCAGCACUGACAGAAGCAAAUUCCAUUUGCUUGGACCCACUGCAUUCCAUCCCUUGUGGAAGAGAGCAUGUAAGCAAGUGAGUGCAGGAACUGGCUGGCUGCUUUGGUGCUGGCAGGAGCAAACACCAUGAAGGCCCCAUGGCAGAGUCCAGGACAGGACCUUCGGGCCUCUAAAAAAAAAGGAUCAAAGAACUGAAACUCACCAGAUCACCUCACCAGAUGCUAGACCCCUCAUUCACCAUGUUUGCUUCCUUGCCUCUCCCUAGUUCUUAUUUUCUUACACAUUGUUACAUUUCUUCCCUGCUAUAUCAACCCCUAGUUCUAGUCAGUCAUGGAGAUGGAUUUGAGACUGAUCUCCCAUCCCCUCAGCUGCACCACCUGAUUAAAGCCUUCUUCCUUGGCAAUAAUCAUUGUCUCAGUCAUUGGCUUUCUGUGCAGGGAGCAGCAGGACCUAGACUAAACCCCUGGUGUUUUGGUAACAAAAUAAGCCAGGCACAGAAAGACAAACAUCACAUGUUCACACUUAUUUGUGGGAUCUAAAUACCAAAACAAUUCAACUCAUAGAGAUAGAGAGUAGAAGGAUUAUUACCAGAGGCUGGGAAGUGUGGUUGAAGGAGUUGGUGGGCAGUGGGGAUGUAGAAUGUGUACAAAAAAAGGAAUAGAAUGAAGAAGUCCUAGUAUUUGAUAGCACAACAGGGUGACUAUAGUCAAUAAUCAUUUAACUGUACAUUUUUAAAUAACUUAAAAGGUGUCAUUGGGUUGUUUGUAACACAAAUGAUAAAUGCUUGAAGGAAUUGCUACUCCAUUUUCCAUGAUGUGAUUAUUGUGCAUUGCAUGCCUGUAUCAAAAUGCCUCAUGUACCUCAUAAAUAUAUAUACCUACUAUGUACCCACAAAAAUUUUUUAAGAAAAUAUACCACUGCUUUUCCAUUUGUCAAGUGAAAAACUUCUGGGUUAUUUCCAGGUUUUGACUAUUAUGAAUAGAGCUAUUAAGAAUAAUAAAAUACCAUGGCCAGCAUACUGAAUGGGGAAAAGUUGAAAGCAUUCCUCCUGAGAACUGGAACAAGGCAAUGAUGCCCUUUCACUGUUUUUUUUUUUUUUUUUUUUUUUGCAGCUAUUGUACAAGGGGUUGAUUUCUUGAUUUGAUUCUCCCCUUGGUCGCUGUUGAUGUAUAGAAGAGCUAUUAAUUUGUGUACAUUAAUGUUGUAUCUGAAAACUUUGCUGAAUUAUCAGUUCUAGGAGCUUUCUGGAGGAGUCUUUAGGGUUUCCCAGGUAAAUGAUCAUAUCAUCAGCAAACAGGGACAUUUGAGUCCCUCUUUAUUGAUUCGGAUGCCCUUUAUUUAUUUCUCUUGUCUGAUUGCUCUGGCUAGGACUUCCAGUACUAUGUUGAGGAGUGGUGAGAGUGGGCAUCUUUGUCUUGUUUCAGUUCUCAGAGGGAAUGCUUUCAACUUUUCCCCAUUCGGUAUUAUGUUGGCUGUGACUUUGUCAUAGAUGGCUUUUAAUAUAUUGAGGUAUAUCUCUUAUAUGCCAAUUUUGCUGAGAGUUUUAAUAGUAAAGUGAUGCUGGAUUUUGUCAAAUGCUUUUUCUGCAUCUAUUGAGAUGAUCACGUGGUUUUUGUUUUUAAUUUUGUUUAUGUGAUGUAUCACUUUUUUUUUUUUAGACAGAGUUUUGCUCUUGUUGCCCAGGCUGGAGUGCAAUGGCCCGAUCUUGGCUCACCGCAACCUCUGCCUCCUGGGUUCAAGCGAUUCUCCUGCCUCAGCCUCCCGAGUAGCUGGGAUUACAGGCAUGUACCACCAUGCCUGGCUAAUUUUGUAAUUUUUUUCUAGUAGAGAUGAGGUUUCUCCAUGUUGGUCAGGCUGGUCUCGAACUCUCAACCUCAGGUGAUCCGCCCACCUCGGCCUCCCAAAGUGCUGGGAUUACAGGGGUGAGCCAUCGCACCCGGCUGUGUCACAUUUGUUGACUUGCAUAUAUUAAACCAUCCCUGCAUCCCUGGUAUGAAACCCACUUGGUCAUGGUGGAUUAUCUUUCUGAUAUGUUCUUGAAUUUGGUUAGCUAGCAUUUUGUUAAGGAUUUUAGCAUCUAAUGUUCUUUAUGGAUAUUGGUCUGUAGUUUUCUUUUUGAUUAUGUCCUUUCCUGGUUUUGGUAUUAGGGAGAUACUAGGUUCAUAGAAUGACUUAGGAAGGGUUCUCUCUUUCUCUGUCUUGUGGAAUAGUGUCAAAAAGAUUGUUACCAAUUCUUCUUUGAAUGUCUGGUAGAAUUCUGCUGUGAAUCCGUCUGGUCCUGGACCCUUUUUUUGUUGGUAAUUUUUAAAUUACCAUUUCAAUCUUACUACUUGUUAUUGGUCUGUUCAGGACAUCUAAUUUUUCCUGAUUUAAGCUAGGAGGGUUGUGUCUUUCCAGGAAUUUAUCCAUCUCUUCUAGGUUUUCUAGUUUACGCAUGCAAAGGUGUUCAUAGUAGCCUUGAAUGAUCUUUCACAUGUCUGUGGUGUCAGUUGAAAUCUCUUCCGUUUCGUUUCUUACUGAGCUUAUUUGGAUUUUCUCUCUUCUUGGUUAAUCCUGCUAAUGGUAUAUCAAUUUUAUUUAUCUUUUCAAAGAACUAGCUUUUUGUUUCAUUUAUCUUUUGUAUUUUUUUGUUUUAAUUUCAUUUAGUUCUGCUCUGAUCUUGGUUAUUUCCUUCCUUUCUUCUGGGUUUGGGUUUGAUUUGUUCUUGUUUCUCUUGUUCCUUGAGGUGUGACCUUAGAUUGCCUGUGCUCUUUCAGAUUUUUUGAUGUAGGCAUUUAGGACGAUGAAAUUUCCUCUUAGCAUCACCUUUGCUGUGUCCCAGAGGUUUUGAUAGGUUGUGUCACUAUUGUCAUUCAGUUCGAAGACUUUUUAAAUUUUCAUCUCGAUUUCAUUUUUGACCCAAUGUUCAUUCAAGAGCAGGUUAUUUAAUUUCCAUGGUUUUGAAGGUUCCUUUUGAAGUUUAUUUCCAGUUUUAUUCCACUGUGGUCUGAGAGAGUGCUUGAUAUACUUUCAAUUUUCUUAAAUUUAUUGAGGCUCAUUUUGUGGCUAUCAUAUGGUCUAUCUUGGAGAAAGUUCCAUGUGCUGUUGAACAGAAUGUGUAUUCUGCAGUUGUUGAAUGGAAUGUUCUGUAUAUAUAUGUUGAGUCCAUUUGUUCCAGGAUGUAGUUUAAAUCCAUUGUUUCUUUGUCAGUUUUCUGUCUUAAUGACCUGUCUAGUGCUGUCAGUGGAGUAUUGAAGUUCCUCAGUGUUACUUUGUUGCUGUCUAUCUCAUUUCUUAGAUCUAUUAGUAAUUGUUUCAUAAAUUUGGGACCUCCAGUGUUAGGUGCAUGUAUGUCUAGGAUUGUGAUAGUUUCCUGUUGGACAAAGCCUUUUAUCAUCAUAUAAUGUCCCUCUUUGUGCUUUUUUAAAUUAUUAUACUUUAAGUUCUGGGAUACAAGUGCAGAAUGUGAAGGUUUGUUACAUAGGUAUACACGUGCCAUGGUGGUUUGCUGCACCCAUCAACCCAUCAUCUACACUAGGUAUUUCUCCUAAUACAUCCUUCCCCUAGCUCCCCACCCCCUAACAGGCCCCGUUGUGUGAUGUUCCCCUCUCUGUGUCCAUGUGUUCUCAUUGUUCAACUCCCACUUAUGAGUGAGAACAUGUAGUGUUUGGUUUUCUGUUCCUGUUAGUUUGCUGAGAAUGAUGGUUUCCAGCUUCAUCCAUAUCCCUGCAAAGGACAUGAACUCAUCCUUUUUAUGGCUGCACAGUAUUCCAUGGUGUACAUGUGCCACAUUUUCUUUAUCCAGUCUAUCAUUGAUGGCAUUUGGGUUGGUUCUAGGUCUUUGCUAUUGUGAACAGUGCUGCAAUAAACAUACGUGUGCAUGUGUCUUUAUGGUAGAAUAAUUUAUAAUGUUUUGGGUAUAUACCUGGUAAUGGGAUUGCUGGGUCAAAUGGUAUUUCUGGUUCUAGAUCCUUGAGGAAUUGCCACACCGUCUUCCACAAUGGUUGAACUAAUUUAUGCUCCCACCAACGGUGUGAAAGCGUUCCUAUUUCUCCACAUCCUCUCCAGCAUCUGUUGUUUCCUGACUUUUUAAUGAUCGCCAUUCUAACUGGCAUGAGGUGGUAUCACAUUGUGGUUUUGAUUUGCAUUUCUCUAAUGACCCAGUGAUGAUGACCUUUUUUUCAUAUGUUUGUCAGCUGCAUAAAUGUCUUCUUUUGAGGAGUGCCUGUUUACAUUCUUUGCCCACCUUUUGAUGUGGUCGUUUGGUUUUUUCUUGCAAAUUUGUUUAAGUUUUUUGUAGAUUCUGGAUAUUAGCCCUUUGUCAGAUGGAUAGAUUGCAAAAAUUUUCUCCCAUUCUGUAGGUUGCCUGUUCACUCUGAUGAUAGUUUCUUUUGCUGUGCAGAAGCUCUUUAGUUUAAUUAGAUCUCAUUUGUCAAUUUUCGCUUUUGUUGCCAUUGCUUUUGGUGAUUUAGUCAUGAAGUCUUUGCCCAUGCCUGUGUCCUGAAUGAUAUUGCCUAGGUCUUCUUCCAGGGUUUUUAUGAUUUUAGGUAUUGGGUUUAAGUCUUUAAUCCAUCUUGAGUUACUUUUUGUAUAAGGUGUAAGGAAGGGGUCCAGUUUCAGUUUUCUGCUUAUGGCUAGCCAGUUUUCUCAACACCAUUUAUUAAAGAGGGAAUCCUUUCUCCAUUGCUUGUUUUUGUCAGAUUUGUCAAAGAUCAGAUGGUUGUAGAUGUGUGACAUUAUUUAUGAGGCCUCUGUUCUGUUCCAUUGGUCUAUAUAUCUGUUUUGGUAGCAGUACCAUGCUGUUUUGCUUACUGUAGCAAUUGUAGUAUAGUUUGAAGUUGGGCAGCUUGAUGCCUCCAGCAUUGUUCUUUUUGCUUAGGAUUCUCUUGGCUAUACGGGCUCUUUUUUGGUUCCAUAUGAAAUUUAAAGUAGUUUUUUCUAAUUCUGUGAAGAAAGUCAACAGUAGCUUGAUGGGGAUAGCAUUGAAACUAUAAAUUACUUUGGGCAGGAUGGCCAUUUUCAUGAUAUUGGUUCUUCCUAUCCAUGAGCAUGGAAUGUUUUUCCAUUUGUUUGUGUCCUCUCUUAUUUCCUUGAGCAGUGGUUUGUAGUUCUCCUUGAAGAGGUCCUUCACAUCCCUUGUAAGUUAUAUUCCUAGGUAUUUUAUUCUAUUCGUAGCAAUUGUGAUUGGGAGUUCACUCAUGAUUUCGCUCUCUGUCUGUUAUCAGUCUGUAGAAAUGCUUGUGAUUUCUGCAUAUUGAUUUUGUGUCCUGAAACUUUGCUGAAUUUGCUUUUCAGCUUAGGGAUAUUUUGGGCUGAGACAAUGGGUUUUUUGAAAUAUACAAUUAUGUCAUCUGCAAACAGAAACAAUUUGACUCCCUCUCUUCCUAUUUGAAUACGCUUUAUUUCUUUUGCAUGAUUGCCCUGGCCGGAACUUCCAACACUAUGUUGAAUAGGGGUGGUGAGAGAGAGCAUCCUUGUCUUGUGCUGGUUUUCAAAGGGAAUGCUUCCAGCUUUUGCCCAUUCAGUAUGACAUUGGCUGUGGGUUUGUCAUAAAUAACUCUUAUUAUUUUGAGAUAUGUUCCAUCAAUACCUAGUUUAUUGAGAGUUUUUAGCAUGAAGGGGUGCUGGGUUUUAACGAAGGCUUUUUCUGCAUCUAUUGAGAUAAUCAUGUGGUUUUUGUCAUUGAUUCUGUUUAUGUGAUGGAUUACGAUUAUUGAUUUGUGUAUGUUGAACCAGCCUUGCAUCCCAGGUAUAAAGCUGACUUGAUCGUGGUGGUUAAGCUUUUUGAUGUGCUGCUGGAUUUGGUUUGCCAGUAUCUUAUUGAGGAUUUAGCCUCAAUGUUCAUCAGGGAUAUUGGCCUGACAUUUUCUUUUUUUGUUGUGUCUCUGCCGGGUUUUGGUAUCAGGAUGAUGCUGGCCUCAUAAAAUGAGUUAAGGAGGAUUCCUUCUUUCUGUUUUGUUUGGAAUAGUUUCAGAAGUAAUGGCACCAGCUCCUCUUUGUACCUCUGGUGGAAUUCAGCUGUAAAUCCGUCUGGUCCUGGGCUUUUUUUUUUUUAUUGGUAGACUAUUAAUUAUUGCCUCAAUUUCAGAACUUGUUAUUGGUCUAUUCAGGGAUUUGACUUCUUCUUGGUUUAAUCUUGGGAGGGUGUAUGUGUCCAGGAAUUUAUCCAUUUCUUCUAGAUUUUUGAGUUUAUUUGCAUAGAGGUGUUUAUAGUAUUCUCGGAUGGUAGUUUGUAUUUCUGUGGGAUUAGUGGUGAUAUCCCCUUUAUCAUUUUUUAUUGUGUCUUUGAUUCUUCUCUCUUUUCUUCUUUAUUAGUCUGGCUAGCCAUCUAUCUAUUUUGUUAAUUUUUUCAAAAAACCCACGCCUGGAAUAAUUGACUUUUUGAAGGGUUUUUUUAUGUCUCUAUCUCCCUCAGUUUUACUCUGAUCUUAGUUAUUUCUUGUCUUCUGCUAGCUUUUGAAUUUGUUUGCUCUCACUUCUCUAAAUUUCUACUCUGAUCUUAGUUCUUUUAAUUGUGAUGUUAGGGUGUCUAUUUCAUAUCUUUCCCGCUUCCUCCUGUGAGCAUUUAGUGCUAUAAAUUUCCCUCUAAACACUGUUUUAGCUGUGUCCCAGAGAUUCUGGUACAUUGUGUCUUUGUUCUCAUUGGUUUCAAAGGACUUCUUGAUCUCUGCCUUAAUUUUGUUAUUUACCCAGUAGUCACUCAGGAGCAGGUUGUUCACUGUCCUUGUAGUUGUGCGGUUUUGAAUGAGUUUCUUAAUCCUGAGUUCCAGUUUGAUUGCACUGUGUUGUGAGAGACUAAUUGUUAUGAUUUUCAUUCUUUUGCAUUUGCUGAGGAGUGUUUUACUUCCAAAUAUGUGGUCAGUUUUGGAAUAAGUGUGAUGCGGUGUUGAGAAGAAUGUAUAUUCUGCUGGUUUGGGGUGGAGAUUUCUGUAGAUGUCUAUUAGGUUCUCUUGGUUCAGAGGUGAGUUCAAGUCCUGAAUAUUCUCGUAAUUUUCUGUCUCAUUGAUCUGUCUAACAGUGACAGUGGGGUGUUAAAGUUUCCCACUAUUAUUCUGUGGGAGUCUAAGUCUCUUUGUAGGUUUCUAAGAACUUGCUUUAUGAAUCUGGGUGCUCCUGUAUUGGGUGCAUAUAUAUUUAGGAGAGUUAGCUCUUCUUGUUGCAUUGAUCCCUUUACCAUUAUGUAAUGCCCCUCUUUGUCCUUUUUGAUUUUUGUUGGUUUAAAGUCUGUUUUAUCAGAGACUAGGAUUGCAACCCCUGCUUUUUU